rnacentral:rRNA from 1 species
CCUCAGUAGUUAGAUAACAAAACUACUCGCCAGAAUACUACGAGCUACAGCUUAAAACUCAAAGGACUUGACGGUGCUUUACACCCCCUAGAGGAGCCUGUUCCGUAAUCGAUAAACCCCGAUCCACCCCACCCUCUCUUGCUCAGCCUAUAUACCGCCAUCUUCAGCAAACCCUAAUGAAGGUCACAAAGUGAGCGCAAACGCCGUCACCGCGAGUACGUUAGGUCAAGGUGUAGCCUAUGAGAUGGUAAAAAAUGGGCUACAUUUUCUACCUCAGAAAAUUCCACGAAAACCCUUAUGAAAUUUAAGGGCCCAAGGAGGAUUUAGCAGUAAAUUAAGAAUAGAGUGCUUAAUUGAACCCAGGCAUAAAGCG